AAUUUGAAAUCUGGCGUCUUUGGCGUCCGAGUUGUAAUUUGCAGAGGGCGCUUUGGCAUUGGCAGCGGUCCAAGUUCCUUGGAACAGGACGUCACAGAGGGUGAGAAUCCCGUACGUGGUCGCUAGCCUUUACCGUGUAAAGCCCCUUCGACGAGUCGAGUUGUUUGGGAAUGCAGCUCUAAAUGGGAGGUAAAUUUCUUCUAAAGCUAAAUACUGGCCAGAGACCGAUAGCGCACAAGUAGAGUGAUCGAAAGAUGAAAAGCACUUUGGAAAGAGAGUUAAAAAGCACGUGAAAUUGUUGAAAGGGAAGCGCUUGCAGCCAGACUUGCCUGUAGUUGCUCAUCCGGGUUUUUACCCGGUGCACUCUUCUAUAGGCAGGCCAGCAUCAGUUUGGGCGGUUGGAUAAAGGUCUCUGUCACGUACCUCCUCUCGGGGAGAACUUAUAGGGGAGACGCAAUGCAACCAGCCUGGACUGAGGUCCGCGCAUCUGCUAGGAUGCUGGCGUAAUGGCUGUAAGCGGCCCGUCUUGAAACACGGACCAAGGAGUCUAACAUCUAUGCGAGUGUUUGGGUGUCAAGCCCGAGCGCGUAAUGAAAGUGAACGGAGGUGGGAACCUUUCGGGGUGCACCAUCGACCGAUCCUGAUGUCUUCGGAUGGAUUUGAGUAAGAGCAUAGCUGUUGGGACCCGAAAGAUGGUGAACUAUGCUUGAAUAGGGUGAAGCCAGAGGAAACUCUGGUGGAGGCUCGCAGCGGUUCUGA
rnacentral:rRNA from 1 species